rfam:Burkholderia xenovorans LB400 chromosome 1, complete sequence.
GUCGGCGUUGUCACAGUUCAGCCGACGGCCGUCCCCGUCGUCACCGAAUUGCCCGGCCGCACCAGUGCCUUCCUCGUCGCGCAAGUGCGCGCGCGGGUCGACGGCAUCGUGCUGCGCCGCGAGUUCACGGAAGGCAGCCAGGUCAAGGCGGGUCAGCGUCUGUACAAGAUCGA